UUGAGAUACAUGAUGUUGUAUCAUAUUGUAAUAGUGUAUACACAAUGUAUUUAUAGUGUAUAGUUGGUAUACAAUUGGGCAAUGAUGAUAAAACCUACAUUUGGGCUUUUCCCGAGCCCAAUACCGAGAGUCAUAUCUGAGCCCAGAUAUGUGACCCAUAUGUGACCCGUCCAUUCUUUAUUAUAAUGGGUCAAUGACCCGACCCAUGUGUGUAAAUAUAAAUACAGGGGUCACCGACUUAUGUGACCCCCGGACUUCAUUUCUUUAUUUUGUUUUCUCGGUUAAUGUGAUAUUUUCUCUCUGGGAUUCCAGAGUCUUCUCACCUACUCUCCUCCUUCUCUCUACUUUCUCUCUAUAUUAACAUGGUAUCAGAGCCUCCUAGAUGAUCCGAUCAUGUUUCUAAGUAUUCGUGUUCAUGGAUGAAGUCUGUAUCGAGG
rnacentral:lncRNA from 1 species